rnacentral:rRNA from 1 species
UAGCGUAUAUUAAAGUUGUUGCAGUUAAAAAGCUCGUAGUCGGAUUUCGGGGCGGGCCGAGCGGUCUGCCGAUGGGUAUGCACUGUUCGGCGCGUCCUUCUUUCCGGAGACUGCGCCUACUCUUAGCUGAGCGGGCGUGGGAGACGGAUCGUUUACUUUGAAAAAAUCAGAGUGUUUCAAGCAGGCAGCUCGCUCUUGCAUGGAUUAGCAUGGGAUAAUGAAAUAGGACUCUGGUGCUAUUUUGUUGGUUUCGAACACCGGAGUAAUGAUUAACAGGGACAGUCAGGGGCACUCGUAUUCCGUCGAGAGAGGUGAAAUUCUCAGACCAAUGGAAGACGAACCACUGCGAAAGCAUUUG